GCGUUGAAGCGGGAGGUUGCGGCUCUCUGAAGCCGGUUUUUCCGUGGAGUAUGUCCGAUUUUAAACCGGGCG
rnacentral:ncRNA from 1 species